rnacentral:tRNA from 1 species
GGGAGCAGAUGGGCGCUGGUGUGUCUCCUGGUCUUCAAAACCUGUGUGGGGCGUAGGGUACGUCCCGGGUGGGUUCGAUUCCCACAUGCUCCCGCCA